UACGUAGGGUGCAAGCGUUGUCCGGAAUUAUUGGGCGUAAAGAGCUCGUAGGCGGUCUGUCGCGUCUGCUGUGAAAAUCAGGGCUCAACCCUGGACCUGCAGUGGGUACGGGCAGACUAGAGUGCGGUAGGGGAGAUCGGAAUUCCUGGUGUAGCGGUGAAAUGCGCAGAUAUCAGGAGGAACACCGGUGGCGAAGGCGGAUCUCUGGGCCGACACUGACGCUGAUGCGCGAAAGCCAGGGGAGCGAACGGG
rnacentral:rRNA from 1 species